AAUAUGGUCAAGAUUUUAUCUCAAAUUAAGUCUAUAUAAAUAGAUAUCUAUACAAUAUACUAUGUUAUAUGUGCAAGAUGGGGUUUCAAGGGACAACGAUUAUUACUCUAACAAUGGUAUUCUUAUAUGCUUUCUUCAUCAUUGCAUCAGAAAUGAGUUUGAAAUCUGAAGGAAGGGAACUUGAUUGGCAGCCAAAAUGUCAAUUUGAUGGCGACUGUCGAAAAUGGUGUGAUAAAUAUAAAGAAUAUGGACGGUGUGUUAAUAAUUUAUGUUGGUGUUCUUAUGUACCACCUUCUGGAGAUAAUAGCCCUUUUGCAUAUAGUAGUCCUGGUUUACCUUCCUAAACUUCCAACUCAAUAUUGUAAUAUUAUCGUGUAAUAUGCAUGUAUGGAUGCGAGUAAUAAGCAAAGAAUAGCAAAUUAAUAAAAAAAGACGAUUUUUUGUUUCA